CUCUUUGUGCACCCGCCCACACGGCUUGCGGACCUUUUUCCCUUCGCUGCUUUCCACCGGUCUCGGCAGGGUCUGAGGACUCCGGAGAGCAAGGCAUGAGUCCGCCUCGUGCCGCAGGUUCCUGGCCCACGCCAGCUGGACCCAGUAGCACCAUGGGAUUUGAGGACACACGCCGGCUGCCUACCCUUGAAGAAAGGGUGAGCUCUGAGGACUUCACGGGGGCCCCAUCUCCUUACCUAGAUGAGGGCUAACCUUGGAAUCCAGACAAAGGUGGAAGUGACCUAGAUGUGACCUGGAUGACCUGAUCAUCUAAGGAGAGCCUGCCCUUUGUCCUGCCCUUGUGAAGGGCUUUGCUGCUGUGCACUGACAAGUUGGGACGGCUUUUUAUUGCUUUGUUGCCAGUUAUCUGAACAUGAGAGGCUAUAAGGUGUAAUCUAUGCGAGCUGACUGCCCUACGCCCAGACUGAACCAGGGCCUCACUUGACUGAGUAUUAGACAAUGUAAUAAAAACUUACCUUGCCCAGACUAUAUAAUGGCUUGGAAAUGCACAGUUUCCCGAAAGAUCUCAAUAAAAUACUUUUAAAAG
rnacentral:lncRNA from 1 species